rnacentral:tmRNA from 1 species
GGGGGUGUAAAGGUUUCGACGGGGGUUUGGAACUUGGGGUUGCGUGUCGUGUUACUCUGGGUCACGUACAAACUGGAGAAAAUUAAAAUAAACGCAGACGAAAAUUUAGCGUUAGCAGCCUAAUUGCUGCUCGUUCCUCUUAGUCCUCCUGCCGACUAAGACUGAACGCCAUUAUGCAGGCAACUUCUUUUAGAGUGUCUCUACUAAAAGUCGUAUAAGUGGGACUGGUUUCAAAUAUUGAUUGCCAUUUAUUUGUAUUUGAAAUGAGAUUAAAUUAAUUGGCUACGCACGUAGAUACAACGAGGAAAAGACUUUCGGACAGGGGUUCGACUCCCCUCAUCUCCACCA